GAUGAACGCUGGCGGCGUGCCUAAUACAUGCAAGUCGAGCGAACGGACGAGAAGCUUGCUUCUCUGAUGUUAGCGGCGGACGGGUGAGUAACACGUGGAUAACCUACCUAUAAGACUGGGAUAACUUCGGGAAACCGGAGCUAAUACCGGAUAAUAUUUUGAACCGCAUGGUUCAAAAGUGAGAGACGGUCUUGCUGUCACUUAUAGAUGGAUCCGCGCUGCAUUAGCUAGUUGGUAAGGUAACGGCUUACCAAGGCAACGAUGCAUAGCCGACCUGAGAGGGUGAUCGGCCACACUGGAACUGAGACACGGUCCAGACUCCUACGGGAGGCAGCAGUAGGGAAUCUUCCGCAACGGGCGAAAGCCUGACGGAGCAACGCCGCGUGAGUGAUGAAGGUCUUCGGAUCGUAAAACUCUGUUAUUAGGGAAGAACAUAUGUGUAAGUAACUGUGCACAUCUUGACGGUACCUAAUCAGAAAGCCACGGCUAACUACGUG
rnacentral:rRNA from 1 species